AAAUUUGAAACCUGAAACGGCCGCGGCCGCUCGCCCUCGCCGCCUAUCCCAUUCAUUCAAUUCCUUUCCUUCUUCUUCUUCAUAUAAACAGAAGGAGCACACACGGGACGGGACGGUCGGCGGUCGCUGCUUCUUCUCCUUCGGUCCAUCCUCUCCUCCACUCCCCUCGCCUCCACCGCGCCCUCGAUUCAGUUCCGUCCCCCCGCGGCUGGAUGGCAUCUCCCCCGCCCUUCGACCUCUGCAGCGAUCUCGACGACGACGAGCCCGUCACCGCCGUCCCCAAGGAUCGCCAUCUCCCUGCCGCCGUCCCCACGCCCAACGGCCUCAACGACCACCUCCUCCGCUUCACCCGCAGCUUCCAGCGCUCCACCCAAAACCCUAACCCUAGCCCCAAUCCGCAACCGCAACCGCCUCCGCCUCCAGAAGCCACCGCCGAAGAACAAGUCGGCAAGGUCAAGCUCGCCGGCCGCCGCCGCCUAUGCAAGCUCGCCACCACCAUUCAGCUAGUGGAUGGGGAGGAGGAGGUGGAUGGGGACAACCAGGACGACAGCGAAAGCAUAUUCGACAUCCUAGAUGACCUCACCACCCGAUUCGACUCUCUAUCCGUCCAGAAACCCGGCCCCACUGAGAGGUCCAGGACACAGCAGCUCGCCCCUCUGCCCUGCGCCAUCACCCUGGACGACAUAGAUGACCAGAUCGCAGAUGAUGGGGAUGCCCGUCCCGGCGCCUCCUCGCCCGUUCAAAUUUCUAGUUCUGAUGAUGAAGCUACGGUCAACACCAGACGCCGUCAGGUCAAGAUUGAAACUACUUCAGUCUCCUCAGCCUCUACCCAUUAUGCCCGUGAUGACGAUGUCCGUGCUAAGGGGAAGAACAAAGGGACCGCCAAGGAUGUUGGGAGGCUAAACAGGGUAUCAAAGGCCUCAUCCGGCUCUGAUUAUGACAACUGUGGGGGGGACCAAGGAACAGGAACUGCUUAUGCUGUUAAGCAGGUAAGAAACGAGGAAUUCGCAAGGAGACCACCCAAGAUCUCAACAUUCAGGAACAAUGACCUCAGUGAUGAUGAGCUGGGUCAGGAGAAGGAGCAUCUUGGAGCUGCGGAGAACAAUUCUGAGGAUGUUGGAUGGGAGAAGACGGAGGACUUCAAGAUGGAUCCAACUGGAACUGCUGCAACAUCCAAGCCAUACAAGCUCCCAGGAAAGAUAUUUAAGAUGCUUUUCUCCCACCAGCGUGAGGGCCUCCGUUGGCUCUGGGUUCUGCACUGCAGGGGAACCGGAGGAAUCCUAGGGGAUGACAUGGGCCUUGGCAAGACGAUGCAGGUUGCUGCAUUUCUGGCUGGAUUGUUUCAUUCUCGUCUAGUCAAGAGGGUGCUCAUUGUUGCUCCAAAGACACUUCUGGCUCAUUGGACCAAGGAGCUUUCAAUUGUUGGGCUUAAAGAGAAGAUAAGAGACUACUCUGGCCCUAGCACAAAUAUUCGCAGUUAUGAACUCCAAUAUGCCUUCAAGGAGGGUGGUAUCCUCCUAACCACCUAUGACAUUGUCCGGAACAACUACAAGCUAAUAAGAGGCAACUCCUACAACAAUGAUGAUGAGGAGGAAGGAACAUUGUGGAAUUACAUAAUUCUUGAUGAGGGGCAUCUAAUAAAAAACAACAAGACACAAAGGGCCCAAAGCUUGUAUGAAAUACCUUGUGCCCAUCGCAUUGUGAUCAGUGGGACACCUAUCCAAAAUAACUUGAAGGAAAUGUGGACUCUGUUCAAUUUUUGUUGCCCAGAUGUCUUGGGAGAUAAACAACAGUUCAAAAUAAGGUUUGAAACACCUAUCCUUCGAGGAAAUGACAAAAAUGCUACUGCUCGAGAGAAGCACGUAGGCUCAAAUGUGGCAAAGGAACUAAGAGAGCGAAUCAAACCAUACUUUUUGCGACGCAUGAAAAGUGAAGUUGUCUUUGAUACUGGUGCAUCAGAAGAAAAAACAUUAGCCAAGAAGAAUGAGCUAAUUGUCUGGCUGAAGCUAACACCAUGCCAGAGGAAACUAUAUACAGCUUUUCUAAAUAGUGAGUUGGUUCAUUUAGCGUUGCAGCCAAAGGCGUCACCAUUGGCUGCAAUCACAAUAUUGAAGAAAAUAUGUGAUCAUCCACUGCUAUUGACUAAGAAAGGUGCUGAGGGUGUCUUGGAAGGAAUGGAUGAAAUGUUGAAUGAUCAAGACAUUGGAAUGGUAGAAAAAAUGGCCAUGAACCUUGCAGAUAUGGCUCAUGAUGAUGAUGCACUGCAAGUUGGUCAGGAUGUCUCAUGCAAGCUAUCAUUCAUCAUGUCCUUGUUGCGGAACCUUGUUGGAGAGGGGCAUCAUGUUUUAAUAUUUUCACAGACUCGUAAAAUGCUAAACCUUAUUCAGGAAGCCAUAAUAUUAGAGGGCUAUGAGUUUUUGCGCAUUGAUGGCACCACCAAGGUUUCUGAGCGGGAGAGGAUUGUGAAGGACUUCCAAGAGGGUCGUGGAGCUCCAAUUUUUCUGCUAACCACACAAGUUGGUGGACUUGGACUUACACUCACCAAAGCAGCUCGCGUCAUAGUAGUUGAUCCUGCAUGGAACCCUAGUACAGACAAUCAAAGUGUUGAUCGUGCUUACCGAAUUGGACAGACCAAAAAUGUGAUUGUAUACCGCUUGAUGACAUCUGCGACCAUUGAAGAAAAGAUAUACAAAUUACAGGUUUUGAAGGGGGCUUUGUUCAGGACAGCUACGGAGCAAAAAGAGCAAACACGUUACUUCAGCAAGAGUGAUAUUCAAGAUCUAUUUAGUUUGCCACAACAAGGAUUUGAUGUUUCCCUCACGCAGAAGCAGUUGCAAGAAGAGCAUGGUCAACAACUUGUUAUGGAUGAGUCCUUGAGGAAGCAUAUACAGUUUCUGGAGCAACAAGGAAUAGCUGGUGUGAGCCAUCACAGCCUCCUAUUCUCUAAAACUGCAACCCUGCCCACGUUGAGUGAGAAUGAUGCACUGGACAGCAAACCUCGGGCCAUGCCGAUGAUGCCCCAGCACUAUUACAAGAGAUCCUCAUCUGACUAUGUUGCCAGUGGCUUUUGCGUUGAAGCCAAAAGAUGAAAGUUUCACUGUUCGAAAGUACUCUCCAAGCAACAGAAGCGCAGAGAGUCCUGAAGAGAUAAAGGCGAGAAUCAACCGGCUUUCACAGACCCUCUCCAACGCUGCGCUGGUGUCGAAGCUACCAGAUGGUGGUGAGAAGAUAAGGAGGCAGAUAAGCGAGCUGGAUGAGAAGCUGGCUUCUGCUGAGAAGGGGCAGAAGGAGGAGGCCACUGAAGUGAUUUCCUUGGAUGAUCUGAUUACAGAUAUGAAGAACAUAACAGUGCCCAUUUAGGCUGUCGGGAGUCUGAGUAUCCAUUUAGGCGUGCUGGCUGGGACUAGGUGGUGCGAAAGUGUUUUGAAGUUGUAGUUGUUGGUAGACGCUAGUAAUAGCUUUAGUCACUGGGUUGUGACUAGCAAGGCCACCACCACGUCUGCAUCACGAUGCUAGACAGCCUAUUGUGUUAUUUUGGUAUGACUCAAAAUGCUGUCUGGCUUUAUUUGUAGACCACGAACAAGACCAGGAGGAAAUGGCACCAAUCAAGUAUGCUCUUUUGCUGCAUCUCCGCCUCCGGGUUGGGUUUAUCAUUUAAGCAAUGCAUGCAGGAGUAUGUUUCUAAUCAGAACGCACUGGUGAACCUUUAAUCAGUAGUACAUUCCUAGCUGUAAUCUGUAUAUAUAUGUUGCUUGCACGAAAUCUGUAUAAAGAAAGUCAAUAGAAUCUUAGC